UACGAAGGGUGCAAACGUUGCUCGGAAUUAUUGGGCGUAAAGCGCACGUAGGCGGCUUAGCAAGUCGGAUGUGAAAGCCCUCGGCUCAACCAAGGAAGUGCAUCCGAAACUGCUGAGCUUGAGUACUUAAGAGGAUCGCGGAAUUCCCGGUGUAGAGGUGAAAUUCGUAGAUAUCAGGAGGAACACCUGUGGCGAAAGCGGCGCACUGGACCACAACUGACGCUGAGGCGCGAAAGCUAGGGGAGCAAACAGG
rnacentral:rRNA from 1 species